rnacentral:rRNA from 1 species
UACGUAGGUGGCAAGCGUUGUCCGGAUUUACUGGGCGUAAAGAGCGCGCAGGCGGUCGUUUAAGUCGAAUGUGAAAGCCCCCGGCUCAACUGGGGAGGGUCAUUCGAUACUGAUCGACUUGAAGGCAGGAGAGGGAAGUGGAAUUCCGGGUGUAGUGGUGAAAUGCGUAGAUAUCCGGAGGAACACCAGUGGCGAAGGCGACUUCCUGGCCUGUUCUUGACGCUGAGGCGCGAAAGCUGGGGGAGCAAGCGGG